UAUGAAUAUUAUUGAGUGUGCUUGUCUUACUGAUACUAAAACUGCUAAUACUUCUCUUGAGUACGACACUCGUUAUUCAUCCUCAAAUGGUGUACCUUUAUAUUGUGUUAUUGUUGGAUGUCUGGUUUAUUUUAUCAUCACACAUCCCGAUAUUACUUAUACUAUUCACAUUGUUAGUUAGCUUAUUUCAACUCCUGCUAUAGUUCAUUGGGCAACUGUUGUUCGUAUUUUAUGCUAUCUUCAUGGUACUUACUUUCAGAGUCAUUUAUUUCCAUGUGCUUCGUGCCUACUUUGAUGCUGAUUGGGCCAAUAACCCCACCGAUUGUAAGUCCACUACUGGUUUUCAUAUAUUUUUAUGUGAUUCUGUUAUCUCUUGGAAGAGUAAGAAGCAGACUAUUGUUUUUCGUUCCUUUGUGGAGGCAGAGUAUCGAGUUAUGACAUCCAUUACAACUGAGAGUAUGUGGUUACAUUGGUUACUUGCAGACAUGGGUAUUCCUUCGUCUUCUUCAGCUCCUACAUAUUAUGGUAAUUAAAGUGCUAUUCAAAUCUUUUACAACUACGUGUUCCUUGAGUACAAGAAGCAUAUUGAGAUUGACUGUCAUCUAAUUGCCCAUUAUCUCCAGAAUGACACAAAUUUUCCUACCUUUUGUUUCUUCAUCAUUGUAGCAAAUCGUCAUCCUUUCUUUGAUGGCAUACAUUAUAAUCAUUAAAAAGCUAGAAUGAUGAUGAUUUACAUUCAAUCAAUAGAUUAUAAUAUUUGGUAAGUUAUUGUAUAUGGUCCUUAUGUGCCUACUAAGACUAUUAAAGUCGAUGGCAAACCCGAUCAAAAUAUUCCUAAACCUAGAAAGGAAUAUGAUGAAGAUGAUAAAGGAAAAUUAUCCUUAAAUGCUAGAGCCGAAAGUCUAAUUUAUUGUGUAUUAGAUAGAAAUGAAUUUAAUUGUAUUAGCACAUGUGAUUUCGCAUAUGAUAUUUGGCAUGUAUUAGAAGUUACUCAUGUUGGUACUAAAAAAGUGAAGGAAACCAAAAUUAACCUCUUGGUUAAAGAAUUUUAAAACUUCUUUAUGAAACAAUAUGAACAUAUUGUUGAUAUGUUACUCGUUUUACCGAUAUUGUUAAUGGCCUUAAAGGCUUUGAUCGCAAAUUUACUAACGGUGAGCUUGUGAGUAAAAUGUGUAGGUCACUAUCUGAAGAAUGGAGCUCAUUAAGGAUGUUGAUAGAAAACACCAAAGAUUUCAACUCAUAUCCUUUGGAAGCUAUAUGGAACCUUGAUGACUUACAAGCUCAACAAAGCCGAAACCAAGGAGAAAACAAAGAAAAACAAAGAAGAAUCAAAGGAAUCCUAUAAGCGCCAAAUCGUUCGUAAAUCGACAAUUGAAGAAAGAACUACAAGUGAAAAUAUGAGUGACAAAGAGCUGGAUAAUCUAGUCCUUGUCAAGAAAUAAAGAGGUCUUCAAAAUAAUCAAAGAUUCCAGAAAGAAGAAAAAGUGAAGAAAUUAGUAAGAAAAUUAUUUGCUAUGAUUCUGACAAACUUGGUCACAAGAGCACAGAGUGACCAAACAAAAAAAAAGAACAUCAAGAAAAAAAGUCAUUCCGAGCCAUAUGCGAAGAGAGUGAUGAUGAUCAUGAUGGAAAUGAUAGUUAAGAAGAAAUUGCCAACAUGUGCUUCAUGGCGAUCUAGGAUGAGGUAAAUUCUAUUAAAAAUGUUCAUAUGACGUGUUAUCUACCUCCCACGAUGAAAUUUUUGAGAAAUUUGAGAAGCUUGCUCUAAAUCACUUAUUUUUUAAAAAGGAAUACCUAUUGUUGAAGGUCACAAAUUGAAAGUUGUCGACAUUCUGUAUCAGAAGAUUGAACAAUGAGAGAAUCUAUAUAGUACUCACUAGAGCAUAUAACUUCAAUUCUCAAAGUCAAAAUCUAGUUAAUUGAAUUUGUGAACAAUUUAGAGAACUGAGGUUAAAGAAAUCAAUGGCAUGUAACCAGUUCUCUUGAAUUUGUGACAUGUGAAAUAUGCAUUUGACAUGCGACAUGUGAAACUGUUACAUGUGAUAUUAAUUCAAUGGCAUGUGAUAAGUUCUUUUGAAUUUGUAACCUAUGAAAAUUAAUCUGUUACUUGUGCAAUAUGAUAUGUGACCUAUAAUAUACGAAUUGUGACAUAUUAUUAUUGACAUAUGAUCUGUGAUAGGCUAAUUUUGAUGUGUGAUUUGUAGACAUUAAUCAAUGAGCAAUACAAUAUAACAUACCUCUAAAGUGUGACUUCUCACUUGCGAACAUGAUCUAUACUAGUUUUUGUUAAUCUAUGAUCUUUGGACAUUUAUAUAUGACCUAUGCAUAAUGACAUGUGACCUAUGACCUAUCACCAUCACCAACACCACCAACUAUCAACAUUGCAUUUGACAUACACUCUAUGAACAUGUGAUUAUUGCGAGCACCACCACCACCACAAACUACCUAAACAAUCACCACAAACCACCUCAAAAUUCACUUCAAACUACUGCAAAACCACUAAAAAUUCACUGCAAACCAUAGCAAAGCCAUCGUACACCACCACAAAUCAAAUUUGUAACCUACUCAACUGUAGCAUUCUUGGUACACAGUGAUCGUGGAGAUGACUGCAGAAUGGCGCAGCGUGGCGCAUAGAGGUGCAGCAUUAUAGCUGCAUCUUCGAUGGUGCAGUGUUGUAGCACGACGCCACCCCAAUGGCACCCCUUAAAUUCACGAGCAGAGGGACGACGUUGCAGGAGAAAAGAGAGAAGGUGCUAUUGCUGACCUCCUUUGAGAGCUAUCUACGCCACCUUUGUUCCCUACAUCGAAGAGUAUGGGGAUGGGUAGAGAGAAUAGAGUGAUUAAGAGAGAGAAGAAAGAUAGAGAAGAUACAGAUACUGUAUGUGUGUGUGUGUUACAUGUA
rnacentral:lncRNA from 1 species